UACGAGGGGGGCAAGCGUUGUUCGGAAUUACUGGGCGUAAAGGGCUCGUAGGCGGCCAACUAAGUCGGAUGUGAAAUCCCCAGGCUUAACCUGGGAACUGCAUCCGAUACUGGAUGGCUUGAAUUCGGGAGAGGGAUGCAGAAUUCCAGGUGUAGCGGUGAAAUGCGUAGAUAUCUGGAGGAACACCGAAAGCGAAGGCAGUCUCCUGGCAAGUUUCUGACGCUCAGGUGCGAAAGCUAGGGGAGCGAACAGG
rnacentral:rRNA from 1 species